AAGAUAUAAUAGUGAACCAAGUUAUAUAGUAAAGUGUAUUAUUAAUCCAGAAACUAUAUCAGCUCUACAGUGGGAUAUACAAUAUUACGAAGGUUAAAUAGAUUCAUAUAAUCAAAGAAUUAAAUUCUAUAAGUAUAGAAAAAUUUGGAUACCAUUAGGAUAAAACAAAAUAGCUAAUUUAAAACAUCUAGAAUAUUUAGACUUGAAAAUCCAUCCAGAAAAAAAAUAUAGA
rnacentral:lncRNA from 1 species